UGGUGCUAGAGCUCUCUGAGCCUUCAAAUGAGAACAUCCUGGACGAGUUUUUCCGCAGAGUCAAGAAUCGUUACGUGAACAAUGUAUCUUUAAGGACUUAAGAAGGGAAUAUGGUUUCUCACGAGAACGUUGGUUACAUGAGGACAAACAAGAAUUUCUGUAUGUUUUGCUAAAGGAAUAUUUUUUGGUUGAGAAGUGAGAAAGGCACGUUUAAUUCGUCACUACGUCCCCUUGUUUCUGCUGCUUCAGCCUGUCUUUAAAUAACCCCACUGCUGCUUCCUUUUAGUUCAGGCCCUUUUUAUUUUUACCUGAUCUAUAAAAGUAGCUUUCCCUGCCUCUGUAGUACCUUUCCCCUCCAGAUUGCCACCAGUAAUCUUUGUAAAAUUCAAGUCUGAAUUUCUUCAGUGAUCUGCUGUCUUUUAAAGAACUUAGAGACCAUUUACUUUGAAUCUUGACGUCAGCUGCCCACGUACUACCAUAAAGCUGGAGGCAUCCUUGACCCUGGGCUAAUAGAGUGACAGCUGGUA